rnacentral:rRNA from 1 species
UACGAAGGGGACUAGCGUUGUUCGGAAUCACUGGGCGUAAAGCGCACGUAGGCGGAUUUGUAAGUCAGGGGUGAAAUCCCGGGGCUCAACCUCGGAACUGCCUUUGAUACUGCGAAUCUUGAGUCCGAUAGAGGUGGGUGGAAUUCCUAGUGUAGAGGUGAAAAUUCGUAGAUAUUCGGAAGAACACCAGUGGCGAAGGC